ensembl:snoRNA SNORD79 Small nucleolar RNA SNORD79
UACUGUUCAUGAUGAUUGUUUUAUAAAACAAUGGGAAUCUCUCUGAAUUAGACUGAAAGACAUCGUUGUACUGAAACAGUG